GUCUUGGUCGAUUAGUGGUUAAAUCAUCUCGUUGUGGUAUCGACUUCUUUCGACUUGUAACCGAGAAGCCGAGGGCUCGACUCCCUCCCGAGACA